rnacentral:rRNA from 1 species
GAGUUUGAUCAUGGCUCAAAUUGAACGCUGGCGGCAUGCCUUACACAUGCAAGUCGAACGGCAGCACGGGAGCAAUCCUGGUGGCGAGUGGCGAACGGGUGAGUAAUACAUCGGAACGUGCCCAAUUGUGGGGGAUAACCCGGCGAAAGUCGGACUAAUACCGCAUAAGACCUGAGGGUGAAAGCGGGGGAUCUUUCGGGACCUCGCGCUCAAGGGGCGGCCGAUGGCAGAUUAGGUAGUUGGUGGGGUAAAGGCCUACCAAGCCGACGAUCUGUAGCUGGUCUGAGAGGACGACCAGCCACACUGGGACUGAGACACGGCCCAGACUCCUACGGGAGGCAGCAGUGGGGAAUUUUGGACAAUGGGGGCAACCCUGAUCCAGCAAUGCCGCGUGUGUGAAGAAGGCCUUCGGGUUGUAAAGCACUUUUGUCCGGAAAGAAAACUUCCUGGUUAAUACCUGGGGAGGCUGACGGUACCGGAAGAAUAAGCACCGGCUAACUACGUGCCAGCAGCCGCGGUAAUACGUAGGGUGCGAGCGUUAAUCGGAAUUACUGGGCGUAAAGCGUGCGCAGGCGGUGAUGUAAGACCGAUGUGAAAUCCCCGGGCUUAACCUGGGAACUGCAUUGGUGACUGCAUCGCUCGAGUAUGGCAGAGGGGGGUAGAAUUCCACGUGUAGCAGUGAAAUGCGUAGAGAUGUGGAGGAAUACCGAUGGCGAAGGCAGCCCCCUGGGUCAAUACUGACGCUCAUGCACGAAAGCGUGGGGAGCAAACAGGAUUAGAUACCCUGGUAGUCCACGCCCUAAACGAUGUCAACUGGUUGUCGGGCCUUCAUUGGCUUGGUAACGAAGCUAACGCGUGAAGUUGACCAAUCACUA